UUAAAAUGUAUUAUUAAAUAUGUUAAAAUUAUUUCACUUUUUUCCCCUUUGAGAGGUAAAGCCUAAUACUUCUCCCCUUGAAUAUGGGCUAGACUUAUGAGCACAUUUCUAAUGAACAGAGAAAGUGGAUGUGGAUGUGACAAUGUGUAUGUUGGAAGACUAGACAAUAUCAGAGAUGAACAUGAUGGUGAAAGAAAAUAAAAGAAGAAAGCUAGUUAAUAAAAGGCACCAUUGUUUCCUCCUCUUCCUCCUCCUCCACCUCUUUAACUCUCUCUCCCUCUCUCUGAUCAACAGCUCUAGCAAAAGCCAGCUGCUAUGCGGUACAGACUUUCAGGCAGCUUUGCAGGGAGAUACAUGUGGCAAGGAACUGACAGGCCUUCAGCCAAAAGCACAUGACUGAGUCAUCUUGGAAGUGAACCCUCCACCUGCGAGAUGACUGUAGCCCUGGCUGACAUCUUGACUGCAACCUGCAAGACUUUAGGAGGCUCCAGAAACCAGCAGUAACCCAGGCCAGUGCAAAACCAAGAACAGCUGCAUUCGAAUGGAUGAGAAAAGAUGUUGCAUUUUACCCGUGAUAUAGCCCUUUCCUCAAGUGGGCAUAGUUUGGUUUGAUCAGGAGAACAUGUUCAACUCUUGGCUUCUCCCUCAGGAAUAGAAGUUAAGAAGGGAAUCUAAGGGUAACAUUCUGACUUUUCAGGGGCUACCUGAGGGACUGGAUUGUGUGUUGUAUGACGUGGAGUGCUGACAGAAAAUCCACCUACUUUGAAUAACUGGUGGCCAUGGAGAACAGAGAGUUCAGUAUCUUGUUGCAGUACCAGAGAGCCUGUGUGCAGGCAGAUACCAGAAGGAGCAAGAGAUUAUGAGAUUCUGAAAAUGUGGCAAACCUCUGGAACUGGAAAAUUACAUGCACAAGACCAGAGAAGAUGUAUGCCCACAAAGGGAAAGAGAACAACCACCACGUUUUGCUCAACCUGGGACAUUUGAAUUUGAGUAUGCAUCUCGAUGGAAGGCUCUUGAAGAAAUGGAAAAGCAGCAGCGUGAGCAGGUUGAUAGAAACAUCAGAGAAGCCAAAGAGAAACUGGAGGCAGAAAUGGAAGCAGCUAGGCAUGAACACCAAUUAAUGCUAAUGAGGCAAGAUGGGAAAUGUAAAGUCAUAAGAUCGAUAGGUUGACUGUGACAACUAUGUUUACUUACAGAGAGAACAGGAAAUGAGAAUGGGUGAUAUGGGUCCCCGUGGAGCAAUAAACAUGGGAGAUGCGUUUAGCCCAGCCCCUGCUGGUAACCAAGGUCCUCCUCCAAUGAUGGGUAUGAAUAUGAACAACAGAGCAACUAUACCUGGCCCACCAAUGGGUCCUGGUCCUGCCAUGGGACCAGAAGGAGCCACAAAUAUGGGAACUCCAAUGAUGCCAGAUAAUGGAGCAGUGCACAAUGACAGAUUUCC
rnacentral:lncRNA from 1 species